GCCUCCUGAGUAGUUGGGAUUACAGGUGGUCACCAAGAGAAACAGGAGUCUUGAGAUGCCUGGGAACCUUGCUGAGAAUGUGGGGAGAACAGAUAAGGAAAUACUUCAGACCUGCAAAUGGUAUAUUAAAAAACCGUAAUAAAUAACCCGUGUGUGCACUUGAGAAAUAAAACAUUACAGAUAUAGUUGAAGUAUCCACACACUAGAAUUCUUUUACUAACAUCCUCUGCUUUUUGUUUGUUUGUUUGUUUGAGAUGAAGUCUCACUCUGUC